GCAGAACGAAAAUAUAGGGAAUUGGAAGUUAACAACUUAACAGUGUACCCCUACCAAAUGAUUAGUUUUAUAUCUUGCGUAGGAUUUUCUUAUUCUGGUAAAAAAUAGUAUUUCAUGAAGGUACAAUGUCAAAGAUUACGUGUAUGCAAAAAUAAGUGUAAAAUUCGAAUACUUGACAAUAUUUAUUUUUUGUUAUUCUACCGAGGGACCAUAUGGCACAAUAUCUUUUGAACGCCCAUUGUUGCUCAGGUGAGCGAUGUGGCCCCAUGGGCCUCUUGUGAUAUUGUAUUUGUGAUCAAAUACAAUAACGUAUAACACAAUACAAUGUCAUAUCAUACAUUACAAUAUCACAUCUCAUCAUUGUUUAUUAUUGUAUUUUAUUGUAUUAUAUGAUAUAUAUUGUAAAUAUGAUAGGAUGCAAUAUUUAAUUUUAUAUUAUUGUAUUGAUUAACAUAUGAACAUAUGAUUAUCAUACAAUUUUUUAACAGAUGAUAUGUGAUAUUGUGUCACAACAGAAUCCAUGAAUAUCCAAGAUCAUAAACAUAAAAGGUGGUCUCAUAAAGGUGUUGUCUCAUAAGGGUGAUGCCUCGUUUCGGUGAGCUUUGUAAUUUGUGGUUACCUAUGUUUUUUGUAUAUUAUGAUACUGUAUCAUGAUAUUGUUAUGUAUUGUAUAUUAUGGUACAAUUUUUUAUAAUAUGAGGUUGUACUAUAUAUAAUUGUAUCACAUGAUAUUGUUUGAAAUUCAUAUGAUAUUGUAAUAUGUAAGAAAUAAACAAUGUUAUUUAGUG
rnacentral:sRNA from 1 species